GCCUCUGUAGCUCAGUUGGUUAGAGCGCUGCACCGGAAUCGCAUGCCCGUAGGUUCAAUUCCUACCAGAGGAC